CGGCGAUUAAUCAGAGUAUCUAGUGGGCUAUUUUUGGUAAGCAGAACUGGCGCUGUGGGAUGAACCAAACGUCGAGUUAAGGGGCCUAAAAAAAUGCUAAUUCAGAGCCCACCGAAAGGUGUUGGUUGCUAUAGACAGCAGGACGGUGGCCAUGGAAGUUGGAAUCCGCUAAGGAGUGUGUAACAACUCACCUGCCGAAGCAACUAGCCCUUAAAAUGGUAUGGCGCUGAAGCAUUGUCCCGAUACUCGACCGCCGGGGCACUAGAGGCCACGUCCCAGAGGCGAGGUCUCGAAGCCCCGGUGAGUAAGAGGGUCGCAGUGGUGAGCGCAGAAGGGAUCCGGCGUGAGCCGGCCUGGAGCCACCACUGGUGCAGAUCUUGGUGGUAGUAGCAAAUACUCGAGAGAGACUCCCUUGAAGACCGAAGUGGAGAAGGGUUCCAUGUGAACAUCAGUUGGACAUGGGUUAGUCGCUCCUAAGCCCAAGGCAAAGGCCUGAUCCCACGCUAGCGGC
rnacentral:rRNA from 1 species